AAUCGCAAUGCUGCAGGUUUUUAGAGUUUCCAUGAGAGAACGUGGAUUUUGAUGAUUGCUGAUGUCUUGUUUGCUUCAUCCCACGCCGUGUCUUGAUUUCUCGUAUACCUUUUCGAUGCUGAUGGAAACAUUCAAAAUACGUGAUAAAAUGUGGAUAUUGCAGUGGUUUGUCUUUCGCCGAGAUUGCGUCUGCAAUCCUUCCGAAUCCUUUCCUGCUGAUGCCAAUGGGAACGAUCAAGGCACGUGCAAUCCGUUUUGUCAAAAUUGCAAGGACUUUCCAUACGCGUGUAGCAACGUGUCUUUGCCGAAGUUGCAUCUGCGAUGCUCUUGUAACCCUUCAUAGCGGUGGUCAUCUCGCAGUUCCGCCGUGGCUUUUGUAUGUGUAGCACGCGUUAUUUCUUGUUUCUUCCAAUAAAGUAUUUUUACAUAAUGGUUAUGUUGAGUCAUGGACACAAAAGCGUCCGCGCCUGUGCGAACUGUCGCAAGAGGAGGAAGAUAUGUGAAUGGUAUGAGAUGACGUGAUCGACGUGCGUGUGUGAAUAUGUGCGAAGGAUGAUGCUGAAGGGGCGGCUUUCCACCCAAGUUAUUAGUUGUGUAACUCCAGUUACUGAUCUAUGGAAAGUGGUGAAACGUCUUCACG